UCCGUCAUGUACGGAAAAUCACGCUGUGAAAAGCAAGCGCCCAUAAAGGAGUCGGAGGAGUCCUGCAGCUUUACUCACGUAAUGGGACAGAGUCCACUGGGGCACACGCCCACGGUGUUUUCUCUCUCGAGGUUUUGGAGGAUGCAGCCUCCUCUUACCCUUUUAUCCUAAACUCCAGACCGCGCGUUGCCCUCUUCCUUUCCCCACUGGCUGAGCUACGAAGAAAGUACAGCCUUUCCGAACCGCCCAACACAUAUCCCCACUUGAACCUGUCAUUUUGUCCCAAAGUUGAGGAGUUGAGGCUUGUGCAGACCCUUGCCUUUUUCAGGAGUCAGGCUGUCUGGGCUCUGUAACAAACUUGCGGCUUGAAGUCAGUGGAGAUACUAAGACCCAUUUCAAAGACGUUAACACCCAUUCCUUCACCCAUAGAAUUGUUUGUAAAGACAUUAGCGCACAUCUUUCCCACCAGCCACCUCUCAGAAACUCUUCAGCAGUAACUGGAGACAUGGAGGUGUCCUGACCCUGAGAGCUGGAAUCCCAACCUGCUUUUCCCAAUUUAAGCACUUAAAUGUCUAAGCAAGGCACAUGUGGAAGGAGUUCUGGCAGGGAAACUUCUGCAAGUUGCACGAGUGCACGAGAACAUUUUCUAGAAGCCUCCCAAGUGAUAUGAAUGAAUCCACAAAUUUGAAUUCCUUGUCUGCUUAAGCAAAGCAAGGAAUUAUAUGGAUCCUGAGAAAAGAACAAUGGACUUAAAAGGUUUUCUUGCUCAGGUGUAUAUGAUCUUGAGGAAAAUUUAAUGAAAAUUUUUGAUGAACUGAAUCAUUAAAGUUUGGACAACUUGAGAAUCAACAGAGAAAAAUAUGCUGCAAAACAUGAUACAGAAAGAGCAAGCUGUUGGAAAACAUGAUAACUUGAACAAAAUGAACUUGACAAAAAUAUGAAUGAACAAAAUAUUCUGGCUGUACAACCAAAGAAUGAAGUCAGCUGCAAGAAAAAGGCACAGGGUUGCAGAGAAGGCUGAGCCAACACACCAAAUGUGGCUGAAAUAUGAUGGUCACACAGCUCAGGGGACCAAGCUGGGCAGCAGAGGCAGGAAGAACAUCUGUCCUCAUCACCGCUGAUUUCACUGCUCUGCCCUGUGUCCCCUGCUACCACUGCCAGCACCUGCUUAAUUCUUUGAUGUGUUUGCUCUGGAAGGAAUUAUUUCUAUUGAUGUAAAACAGUAGUUUAUGAAAAAAUGUGGUUUCUUGUAACAAGAGGCAAAAGCAAAACUCUCACUUGGAAAAUGCCUGAUUCAGAAGUUGUAGCAAUUAAUCUUAUUUUUCUAAAGAAAUUUUUCUUCUUUAUAUUAAGUUUUAAAGAUAUUUUAGUGGAGUUUAACUGAUGAUAUAAUUUGUUUGAAACAUUUUCUUGUUCCUCUUUGCAAUAAUUCUACCUUGAGGAAAAAACUCACUCAAAAACUCACAUGAGGCAGUCACUAAAAAAGCAGCCUGGAAGACUAUGAGCUGAGGGAAGGAAAAUUUCAGCUCCCAAAUUAUUCUGUGUUCCAUUGGUGUAUACUCACAAUUUUUUUAACUGAAGCAAGAUAAUUAAUUUUGACCAUAAAGGUUCACCACUUUCAUCAUGUCAUCACAUUUAAAACAUUAAAUAUAACAUCAUAUAUAGCAAAAGAACAACCA